UAGUCCACGCCGUAAACGAUGGAUACUAGCUGUUCGGAACUUGUUUCUGAGUGGCUAAGCGAAAGUGAUAAGUAUCCCACCUGGGGAGUACGUUCGCAAGAAUGAAACUCAAAGGAAUUGACGGGGGCCCGCACAAGCGGUGGAGCAUGUGGUUUAAUUCGAUGAUACGCGAGGAACCUUACCAGGGCUUAAAUGCAAUAUGACAGGGGUGGAAACACCCUUUCCUUCGGGCAGAUUGCAAGGUGCUGCAUGGUUGUCGUCAGCUCGUGCCGUGAGGUGUCAGGUUAAGUCCUAUAACGAGCGCAACCCCUGUGGUUAGUUGCCAGCGAGUCAUGUCGGGAACUCUAGCCAGACUGCCGGUGCAAACCGUGAGGAAGGUGGGGAUGACGUCAAAUCAUCACGGCCCUUACGUCCUGGGCUACACACGUGCUACAAUGGACGAGACAAUGAGAUGCAAAUCUAGCGAAGGCUAGCUAAUCUAUAAACUCGUUCUAAGUUCGGAUU
rnacentral:rRNA from 1 species